CACGUAGGGCGCAAGCGUUGUCCGGAAUUAUUUGGCGUAAAGAGCUCGUAGGCGGUUUGUCGCGUCGAAUGUGAAAACCCGGGGCUCAACCCCGGGCCUGCAUUCGAUACGGGCAGACUAGAGUUCGGUAGGGGAGUCUGGAAUUCCUGGUGUAGCGGUGAAAUGCGCAGAUAUCAGGAGGAACACCGGUGGCGAAGGCGGGACUCUGGGCCGAUACUGACGCUGAGGAGCGAAAGCGUGGGGAGCAAACAGG
rnacentral:rRNA from 1 species